ACGUAAUAAAAAUAGGUUUAGACAACAACAUGUCCAGAGCUGAAGGUGGCAGUAAUGAGCAAAUUCACAACUUGGACUACGGCCCUGCCGCUUCUUCAGGAUCCUGACGUAAAGGAAAACACCUGUUCAUGAUGUGUGCAAGAAGGUGUUAGAGCAGAGAACUACUGGAAACGGAAAACAGAAGUACAGAGACUUGCCCUAAUGGAAAGUGUCCCAUUCUAGAGCUGAGAAGAGACAGCAGGACAGGGAAUCAUCUGCUAGUGUCGCGUCAGAUGUCUACAUGUCCACAAGUUGUUUAAGAAAAAGUAAGAUACGACUAUUGCAAACACAAGGCAAGAAGUUAUCAGAGAUGAACCCUUCAUCACCGAGUUCAAAACCAGAUGGCCUGCUCUCUUCUGUGUUUCUGAGAAUAAAUUUAAGAGGACUACAACAGUUUGCUGCAACAGUUCUUCUCCAUGCUGGAUGGUUAUUCUUCAGACCUGAAAACGGUGUUUGGCAAGGAUGGCGGCAUUCAAGGACAAAAGAUUAAGAGCAUCAUGGUUCCCAUAACCCAGACUAACUCCAUUGAUGUCAGAAGAGUACAUCCUUUAAGCCCAGUGUGUGUUCCUCAAUGAAGAUCCUGGCAACCUUGUGAAAGAAUGGAUGAUCGUGGACGCCUUGAAGAAGCCAUGAUAGAGACAAUUCUUGAAGUUUUUGUCAUUCACAAAGAUGCAGAGGCAGAUGAUGACCCUGAAGAUGUAGUCAUCGUUUCAAGUCCUGGAUGAGUUGGGUAGUGUCCCACUUGCUGUGUUGUUGUUUGCUCUUGUUAUAUGCUCUCAACCUCAGCUACCCUCCACUAAAAGUUGUUUGAAAUAUUGGCCCAAUGCUGUAUGUACAAUACUGGAUGUUAGUGACAUUUUGUAGCUGCCUUUGACAUUUGAAAGCUGUUUUAUUGUUUUUAUGAAGCUUAUAAAGUAUUCUAACCAGUCUAAA